GGGGACGUAGCUCAGCGGUAGAGCACCUGCCUUGCACGCAGGGGGUCGCCGGUUCGAAUCCGGCCGUCUCCA
rnacentral:tRNA from 1 species